UAGGCGUAAAUGAUGCGAGUUAAGUGUGGGGGCAUCUACGAGAUGGCCCUGUGCUGUAGGGUAGCCGUUAAACUCGCUGCCUGGGGAGUACGGUCGCAAGGCUGAAACUUAAAGGAAUUGGCGGGGGGAGCACCACAACGGGUGGAGCCUGCGGUUUAAUUGGACUCAACGCCGGGAAGCUCACCGGAUAAGACAGCGGAAUGAUUGCCGGGCUGAAGACCCUGCAUGACCAGCUGAGAGGAGGUGCAUGGCGUAGUCGUGU
rnacentral:rRNA from 1 species